AAAAGAACCUGAAACCGUGUACGUACAAGCAGUGGGAGCACAGGUUUACCUGUGUGACUGCGUACCUUUUGUAUAAUGGGUCAGCGACUUAUAUUCUGUAGCAAGGUUAACCGUAUAGGGGAGCCGGAGGGAAACCGAGUCUUAAUUGGGCGUUAAGUUGCAGGGUAUAGACCCGAAACCCGGUGAUCUAGCCAUGGGCAGGUUGAAGGUUGGGUAACACUAACUGGAGGACCGAACCGACUAAUGUUGAAAAAUUAGCGGAUGACCUGUGGCUGGGGGUGAAAGGCCAAUCAAACCGGGAGAUAGCUGGUUCUCCCCGAAAGCUAUUUAGGUAGCGCCUCGUGAAUUCAUCUCCGGGGGUAGAGCACUGUUUCGGCUAGGGGGCCAUCCCGGCUUACCAACCCGAUGCAAACUGCGAAUACCGGAGAAUGUUAUCACGGGAGACACACGGCGGGUGCUAACGUCCGUCGUGAAGAGGGAAACAACCCAGACCGCCAGCUAAGGUCCCAAAGUCAUGGUUAAGUGGGAAACGAUGUGGGAAGGCCCAGACAGCCAGGAUGUUGGCUUAGAAGCAGCCAUCAUUUAAAGAAAGCGUAAUAGCUCACUGGUCGAGUCGGCCUGCGCGGAAGAUGUAACGGGGCUAAACCAUGCACCGAAGCUGCGGCAGCGACGCUGAUGCGUUGUUGGGUAGGGGAGCGUUCUGUAAGCCUGCGAAGGUGGCCUGUGAGGGUUGCUGGAGGUAUCAGAAGUGCGAAUGCUGACAUAAGUAACGAUAAAGCGGGUGAAAAGCCCGCUCGCCGGAAGACCAAGGGUUCCUGUCCAACGUUAAUCGGGGCAGGGUGAGUCGACCCCUAAGGCGAGGCCGAAAGGCGUAGUCGAUGGGAAACGGGUUAAUAUUCCCGUACUUGGUGUUACUGCGAAGGGGGGACGGAGAAGGCUAUGUUGGCCGGGCGACGGUUGUCCCGGUUUAAGCGUGUAGGUGUGUGUUCCAGGUAAAUCCGGUUCACUUUAACACUGAGGCGUGAUGACGAGGCACUACGGUGCUGAAGCAACAAAUGCCCUGCUUCCAGGAAAAGCCUCUAAGCAUCAGGUAACAUCAAAUCGUACCCCAAACCGACACAGGUGGUCAGGUAGAGAAUACCAAGGCGCUUGAGAGAACUCGGGUGAAGGAACUAGGCAAAAUGGUGCCGUAACUUCGGGAGAAGGCACGCUGACAC
rnacentral:rRNA from 1 species